rnacentral:tRNA from 1 species
AGGGGUGUCGGUUAACGGUAAACCACUCGCCUCCAGAGCGAAGACUGUCGGUUCGAUUCCGACCACCCCUG